rnacentral:rRNA from 1 species
AUUGAACGCUGGCGGCAGGCCUAACACAUGCAAGUCGAGCGGAUGAAGGGAGCUUGCUCCUGGAUUCAGCGGCGGACGGGUGAGUAAUGCCUAGGAAUCUGCCUGGUAGUGGGGGAUAACGUCCGGAAACGGGCGCUAAUACCGCAUACGUCCUGAGGGAGAAAGUGGGGGAUCUUCGGACCUCACGCUAUCAGAUGAGCCUAGGUCGGAUUAGCUAGUUGGUGGGGUAAAGGCCUACCAAGGCGACGAUCCGUAACUGGUCUGAGAGGAUGAUCAGUCACACUGGAACUGAGGCACGGUCCAGACUCCUACGGGAGGCAGCAGUGGGGAAUAUUGGACAAUGGGCGAAAGCCUGAUCCAGCCAUGCCGCGUGUGUGAAGAAGGUCUUCGGAUUGUAAAGCACUUUAAGUUGGGAGGAAGGGCAGUAAGUUAAUACCUUGCUGUCUUGACGUUACCAACAGAAUAAGCACCGGCUAACUUCGUG